AGAGUUUGAUCCUGGCUCAGGAUGAACGCUAGCGACAGGCUUAACACAUGCAAGUCGAGGGGCAGCACAGGUAGCAAUACCGGGUGGCGACCGGCGCACGGGUGAGUAACGCGUAUGCAACUUACCUAUCAGAGGGGGAUAACCCGGCGAAAGUCGGACUAAUACCGCAUGAAGCAGGGGCCCCGCAUGGGGAUAUUUGCUAAAGAUUCAUCGCUGAUAGAUAGGCAUGCGUUCCAUUAGGCAGUUGGCGGGGUAACGGCCCACCAAACCGACGAUGGAUAGGGGUUCUGAGAGGAAGGUCCCCCACAUUGGUACUGAGACACGGACCAAACUCCUACGGGAGGCAGCAGUGAGGAAUAUUGGUCAAUGGCCGAGAGGCUGAACCAGCCAAGUCGCGUGAGGGAUGAAGGUUCUAUGGAUCGUAAACCUCUUUUAUAAGGGAAUAAAGUGCGGGACGUGUCCCGUUUUGUAUGUACCUUAUGAAUAAGGAUCGGCUAACUCCGUGCCAGCAGCCGCGGUAAUACGGAGGAUCCGAGCGUUAUCCGGAUUUAUUGGGUUUAAAGGGAGCGUAGGCGGGUUGUUAAGUCAGUUGUGAAAGUUUGCGGCUCAACCGUAAAAUUGCAGUUGAUACUGGCGACCUUGAGUGCAACAGAGGUAGGCGGAAUUCGUGGUGUAGCGGUGAAAUGCUUAGAUAUCACGAAGAACUCCGAUUGCGAAGGCAGCUUACUGGAUUGUAACUGACGCUGAUGCUCGAAAGUGUGGGUAUCAAACAGGAUUAGAUACCCUGGUAGUCCACACAGUAAACGAUGAAUACUCGCUGUUGGCGAUAUACGGUCAGCGGCCAAGCGAAAGCAUUAAGUAUUCCACCUGGGGAGUACGCCGGCAACGGUGAAACUCAAAGGAAUUGACGGGGGCCCGCACAAGCGGAGGAACAUGUGGUUUAA
rnacentral:rRNA from 1 species